rnacentral:sRNA from 1 species
UGCUCUCGCCCUCAUGGGCGUUUCCUCCCUAGACUUCGGGCCGCUCUCACAAGGGGUGGCCCUUUUUUUCGCCUAGG